GAAAGGACAACUUUGCCCAUCAUUUUAAGUUAAUAAAUCAUGUGUCAUGAGGCUAAAUUUGUAAUCCUAUAGGAUGAGUGCCCCAUUAUUAGUGUGUAGGGGUCCGGAAUAAUCAGUUCUUUUGUCUUGUAAUGGAAGAGGUAGGCAAUUUUCAGGGUUGCCCUUAUGCUCUACUAUAUUUGCGUUUUUUUACCCAUAUAUUUUGUUUCAUUAUCCAAUUCAUCAAUCUUAUGAAUGAACCUUUGUGUUUAUACCAUUGUAAUUUUAUGAUCUUUUUUAAUUGAAGGGUACAAAUGAAUAAAACAAGAAGGAUAUCCGGGGUAUUCUAGUCUAGUAUUUAUUUUUGGUUUUUAUAUAUUUUUGCAGAUAAAAUGAAAUUGUUAGGUCUAUAACAAAAUUCAAAUUUAAAUUAAUAGUUGGAGGGAGCUCCAAUGACCAAAUGGGUCAUUAAUUGAGAAAAAUACCAAAAUAAAUGAGAGGGUAUGGAAUUUAUUUACCAUUCAUACAAUAUUAAAGUAUUUAAUUUCAC
rnacentral:lncRNA from 1 species